UUUGCCGUGCUGGACUUCUCG
rnacentral:misc_RNA from 1 species